GUCGCAAUAACCUAGUGGUCAUGGUGGCGGAUUUGCGAUUGUUGAGUCGUGGUUUUGAGCCCUGAUGCCACUUGUGACC